AAAAAUAAAAUUAAUUUGAAUUUUUUAAGUGAAAUUUUAAAUUUAAUUAAUUUUAUAACAAAAAUUUUAAUGAAGCUAAAAAAUUUUAAUAAUAAACUAGGAUUAGAUACCCUAUUAUUUAAAAAGUAAGUUUAUAUACUUGAGUAGUAAUAGAUAUGAUCUUCAAACUUAAAGAAUUUGGCGGUGUUUUAGUCUAUUUAGAGGAACCUGUCCUGUAAUCGAUAAUCCACGUUGGACCUUACUAAAAUUUGUUGUCAAUUUGUAUAUCGCCGUUAUCAGAAUAUCUUAAAAGAGGAAUAAUUUUCUUAAUUUAUAAUUAUAAUUGAUGUCAGGUCAAGGUGCAGUUUAUAUUUUAGUAGAGAUGGGUUACAAUAAAUUUAUUUAUACAUUAAAUUGUUUGAAAUAAUGAUUUUAAGGUGGAUUUAAAAGUAAAA
rnacentral:rRNA from 1 species